rnacentral:misc_RNA from 1 species
GGGACGUUAAACCAACAACCCAAGGGUGCCUCGGAAUGCUUGGUGCGCGACGGGGGCGGAUCUUACUUGCCGCUCACUGGGGCUUCCGCCCCGUCCCGUCGCGGCGGACGCGGUUGGUGCGCGAUGGGGGCGGAUCUUACUUGCCGCUCAMUGGGGCUUCCGCCCCGUCCCGUCGUMGUCGUCGGCCGCGGGGGGUGCGCGAUGGGGGCGGAUCUUACUUGCCGCUCACUGGGGCUUCCGCCCCGUCCCAUCGUCGCCUCCUUUCCGGGGCGCCCUAUUCCAAUUUUUUACUCUGUAGAGAAAACUUGGGCCGGGAGUUCCGGCAAAGAGGGCGGGA